rnacentral:rRNA from 1 species
AAACUUUCAACAACGGAUCUCUUGGUUCUGGCAUCGAUGAAGAACGCAGCAAAAUGCGAUAAGUAAUGUGAAUUGCAGAAAUUCAGUGAAUCAUCGAAUCUUUGAACGCACAUUGCGCCCCCUGGUAUUCCGGGGGGCAUGCCUGUUCGAGCGUCAUU